CUAGAAGAAGAGGAUGUUAGAUUUAUGCCCUAGAAGUCAAUUAUUGGCUAACACAUUUUGUAAUUUCAGGACUUAAUCUUGUACUUGUAAUAUUUUUACUAUCAAUAAAAGGCUUUUUCAUUCUAACCAUGUUUAUGUGUCCAUGAUUUAUCCUAAAAAUUAACAAAAAUAAUUUUUAUAUAUUCUCAAUGUGUUGAAAAUUUGAGACAUAUAUUAAUUAGUAGUUAAUUUCUAAAUACUCUCGAUCAAAGGAUCAUCACAGGGGACAGUGAUCUAUCCAUU
rnacentral:lncRNA from 1 species